CAAUAGCGUAUAUUAAAGUUGUUGCAGUUAAAAAGCUCGUAGUUGGAUUUCUGGCUCAACGUGCCUGGCCCGCCGCAGUAAUGCGUGUGAGUGCCGGAGCGUGUUGGUCAUCCUUCCAGGUAGCGCGCCGGGUGCUUCAUUGUGCUUGGCGUUAGCGAACUGGAUCGUUUACUUUGAGUAAAUUAGAGUGUUUAAAGCAGGCUUAGGCUAUGAAUACAUUAGCAUGGAAUAAUAAUUUAGGACUUUGGUUUUAUUUUGUUGGUUUUGGAGACCGAAGUAAUGAUUGAUAGGGAUAGUUGGGGGUGCUCGUAUUCAGCGGCCAGAGGUGAAAUUCUUGGAUUCGCUGAAGACGAACUUAUGCGAAAGCAUUCACCAAGGAUGUCUUCUUUAAUCAAGAACGAAAGUUGGGGAUCGAAGAUGAUCAGAUACCGU
rnacentral:rRNA from 1 species